rnacentral:ribozyme from 1 species
AGUCUGGAGAACUUUCUGGACUCGCCACAGCAGCUGGAAUCUCCGAUCCUCCCACC